ensembl:snoRNA
CUGUCUCUGCUGAUAGACCUUGAACAAUUUGCUGUUAUUCUUUUGGUUUGAACUAGAAUGCAAACAAAAAUACUCCCUUCUCUUUCUGUCUGUCUUUGUUGUGGCACAGAUUGAAUUAGGGAAUGAUUCU